rnacentral:rRNA from 1 species
AUUGAACGCUGGCGGCAGGCCUAACACAUGCAAGUCGAACGAGUGGCGGACGGGUGAGUAAUGUCUGGGAAACUGCCUGAUGGAGGGGGAUAACUACUGGAAACGGUAGCUAAUACCGCAUACCAUCGGAUGUGCCCAGAUUGGAGUAGCUAGUAGGUGGGGUAAAGGCUCACCUAGGAGACGAUCCCUAGCUGGUCUGAGAGGAUGACCAGCCACACUGGAACGUAGACACGGUCCAGACGCCUACGAGAGGGAGUAGUGGGGAAGAUCGCACAAUGGGCGCAAGCUUGAUGCAGCGAUGCCGCGUGUAUGAAGAAGUCCUUCGGGUUGUAAAGUACUUGCAGCGGGGAGGCGUUACCCGCAGAAGAAGCACCGGUUAACUCCGUGCCAGCAGCCGCGGUAAUUC